AUGCCUCCCCGACACACACCUCUCCAACACACGCCUCUCCCCUUCCCUCUCCGACACACGCCUCUCCCCGACACACACCUCUCCAACACACGCCUCUCCCCGACACACACCUCUCCAACACACGCCUCUCCCUUCCCUCUCCGACACACGCCUCUCCCCUUCCCUCUCCGACACACGCCUCUCCCCUUCCCUCUCCGACACACGCCUCUCCCAUUCCCUCGCCGACCACACGCCUCCCUUCCUCUCCGACACACGCCUCUCCCCUUCCCUCUCCGACACACGCCUCUCCCUUCCCUCUCCGACACACGCCUCUCCCCUUCCCUCUCCGACACACGCCUCUCCCCUUCCCUCUCCGACACACGCCUCUCCCCUUCCUCUCUCCGACACACGCCUCUCCCCUUCCCUCUCCGACACACGCCUCUCCCCUUCCCUCUCCGACACACGCCUCUCCCCUUCCCUCUCCGACACACGCCUCUCCCCUUCCCUCUCCGACACACGCCUCUCCCCCUUCCCUCUCCGACACACCCUCUCCCCUUCCCUCUCCGACACACGCCUCUCCCCUUCCCUCUCCGACACACGCCUCUCCCCUUCCCUCUCCGACACACGCCUCUCCCCUUCCCUCUCCGACACACGCUCUCCCCUUCCCUCUCCGACACACGCCUCUCCCUUCCCUCUCCGACACACGCCUCUCCCCUUCCCUCUCCGACACACGCCUCUCCCCUUCCCUCUCCGACACACGCCUCUCCCCUCCCUCUCCGACACACGCCUCUCCCCUCCCUCUCCGACACACGCCUCUCCCCUUCCCUCUCCGACACACGCUCUCCCUCCCUCUCGACACACGCCUCUCCCCUUCCCGUCCGCCCACGCCUCUCCCCUUCCCUCUCCGACACACGCCUCUCCCCUUCCCUCUCCGACACACGCCUCUCCCCUUCCCUCUCCGACACACGCUCUCAUCCCUCUCCGACACACGCCUCUCGACACACGCCUCUCCGACACACGCCUCUCCGACACACGCCUCUCCGACACACGCCUCUCCGACACACGCCUCCCACUCCCCGACACACGCCUCCCCCCUCCCCAUGUCCAUGUACCAUUCUAUUUAGUAUAGUUGCUUAUCUCUAUAUGGGUACGGCCCCAUAUAGAGAUAAGCAACUAUACGCCUCCCCGACACACGCCUCCCCCCUCUCCGACACACGCCCCUCCCCCCCUCUCCGACACACGCCCCUCCCCCCUCUCCGACACACGCCCCUCCCCCCUCUCCGACACACGCCCCUCCCCCCUCUCCGACACACGCCCCUCCACCCUCUCCGACACACGCCCCUCCACCCUCUCCGACACGCCCCUCCACCCUCUCCGACACACGCCCCUCCCCCUCUCCGACACACGCCACUCCCCCCCACUCCGACACACGCCACUCCCCGACACACGCCACUCCCCGACACACGCCUCUCCCCCCUCUCCGACACACGCCCCUCCACCCUCUCCGACACACGCCCCUCCACCCUCUCCGACACACGCCCCUCCCCCUCUCCGACACAUGCCACUCCCCCCCCUCUCCGACACACGCCACUCCCCCCCACUCCGACACACGCCACUCCCCGACACACGCCACUCCCCGACACACGCCUCUCCCAUUCCCUCUCCGACACACGCCUCUUCGACACACGCCUCUCCCCUCCCCGACACACGCCUCUCCGACACACCCCUCCCCCCUCCCCGACACACGCCUCCCCCCCUCCCCGACACACGCCUUUCCUACAAACAUCUACAAUCACCAUCUUAGUAUGUUGUUUUACCCAUCUUGUGUUCAUUGUCUCAACUUUUGCAAUAUUGUGUGUACAGCAGUAUUUUAAUAAAAUAUACCAAAACACAGUGUGUUGUCUUAGUGUCAUGCAUGUGAAGACCAGAGGAUUGUCUUGA
ensembl:lncRNA